CCCACCUUCAACACAAUCCGAAGUACCUCUCCUUAUUACAGUCUCCUCAUGUUUCUGUUGUACAUGUCCAUGCCAUCUUAAUCGAUUUUCCAUUACUUUGUCCUUAUUUUAUGCAACAUCUAGAGCUCCUCUAAUAUAUUCAUUUCUCAUUUAAACUUUUUAGUUUUACCACACACACAUGAGAACAAGUUACGAACUUGGUCCAGCAUGAGCAAUAUAUGUGCGUAUAUAUAAAUAUGCAUAAAUUAAUUAAUACAGAAAGCUUUCAAGAAUUUCCUUUUAUGUUUUCCUUUAGUAGUAAUCUGAAUCUAUUUAUAAAGGGAAGUAGCCCUUUUCAGGAAAUCCUCAUCACACCACAUACAUAGAGAUCAAGAAGAGGGUUCAAUUACAAUAUAGUGAUGCAUCUAAGCUCAAUAAAAGUGCACAGGCACUCCAACAUAUAAAAAGGAUCUCUAUCAAGCAAAGAAUGCGGUAUAAGAAAAAAUAAAUAAAAUGAUCUCACAUCCCUCCAUUGAUGCCCAAAAAAGGUUGAAAAAAUAAAAUGUUUUAGCCUCCAUUUAUGCCAAAGCUCCACCCUAACAAGAAAUAUGAACCCCUCUAUUCCCAGUUUCUCACACUCCUUUAUGAACUCUUCUACUGCUCAAAUAUAGCACCAUAAAAAGGAAAGUUACAAGGCAAAAGUAACUAUUAGAAGUCACAAGCAAAAUGUAAAAGAAAAAACGUUACUAACCUAAAAUUGAAGUCAAUUGGUAGGGGAUAGCAUAGUUGGGAAAGAAUAAUAAGGAGUCGGAACUAGUGCAAAUUUUGACUUGUUCCAUGUUUUCUUAACUACUAAAAUAUAAACACAAUAACUACAAUUCUAAGUUAUUUCAAUUUUAUUUUAUUUAGAGGAUAUUGAAAUUGUAUAUUGAUCAUACAAUAUAAUUCAAGAAUUAAAAAGUAAUAAUAGUGAACCAAGAGAUAUGAAAGCAAACACUAAUAGAUGAAAGCCAGUUAAUCUAUAUAGAGUGUAAGUAAUUGGCUGCUUCUAAAAGCCAAUUAUAAUAUAUGCCAUCGACCUUCACUGUAUUAAUAAACCAAACGUAAUCUACUUAAUAAUAAUUAAUUAACCUAAAUACCUACUUAAAAGCAUUUAUUAAUUUAUAGUGAUCAAUGAUAAUCAUAAUAAGAUGUAGACAGAGAUACAUAUGUAACAUUCAAGUUCAUUUAGAAAGAAGCCAUACUACAUAUUGUCGGUGUAAAUGCCAAAUUUUAUAUCAUAAUUCAAGUGAUGAUGCUAUUGAAUAUAAGAUUAUGUAUGUAAUAAAGAUAUAAGUAAAACAACUAAUAAAAGAAAUAACUAGGCCUAGUC
rnacentral:lncRNA from 1 species